GUGAAAGUAGUCUCUACAUAAUCCAUUUUGAGAUGCCAGAGCUACUGAAUUCACCCUAAACUGGAGAGGUGAAAGAAGUAAAGUCAGCUGAUCUGGGACUCCCCUGAGUCUUUAAAAUGAGUCUCUCUGGGGGGAGAGAUGAGGGUGCUACUGCCUUUAAAAUGUCACUCUAUGUUAAGCAGGACAUAGACCACAAAGAUGAAAGCCCAAUCCAACAGGAGAGACCAGUCUCACCUGUACCCAGCUGUGUCCAUGAAGAGUAACCAGUCUAUGAUGGCUCCAAUCUCAUUUGGAGAGGAAAAUUCUACUACUAA